rnacentral:rRNA from 1 species
UUGGCAUUCAGGGGGACCGCAGGGUAACCGGCAGACGAGAUAGUAUAAAAUAGGUAACGAACCCAAAAGUCAGGAAUAGCUUGUCGAAAGACAAGGUAAUACUUGAUGGCCCCGAGCUCCAACUUUGAAAUGGUCUUUUGUGCGAACUGUAAACCCGGGCGCCAACUUUACAUAAAGUGUUUAGUUAGGUAGCAGGAUUUAUUUCCACAUUAGUUAAUUGAAAAAUUACAGACGAUUUUAAAGUUGGUGCCCGGGUAAAGAUUUAUCGCUUUUGGAUCGGCCUGUUCGGUAUCAGCUAGUUGGUAGGGUAAUGGCCUACCAAGGCAAUGACGCCUAGGGGAAGUGAGAGCUUGAUCCCCAUCGAUGGAACUGAGACACGGUCCAUACACCUACGGGUGGCUGCAGUCGAGAAUAUUCGACAAUGGAGGAAACUCUGAUCGAGCGACGCCGCGUGCAGGAAGAAGUGCUUCGGUAUGUAAACUGCUUUUGUAGACUAGUAAUUUUUGAACAGUCUAAGAAUAAGAGGUUGCUAAACUCGUGUCCGUG